rnacentral:ribozyme from 14 species
AAAAGAAAUAUCAACUUGCUACAGCUAGUAAUGAUGACGAUGCUCUCAAAUUGGCUCAAGUCGAUCUUGAAAAGGCUAAGAAGCAAAUUGACGAAGCACAAUCUGGUCUUGAAGCUCUUGAUUUAAAUGAUACUUCUGAUGAAAACUUCUUGGCUGAAGAAUUGGCUAAAGAACGUAAGAUUGAGCUCGCAAAAUUAGGCAAAUUACUUGAUGCGGA